UACGGGGGGGCGAAGCGUUGUUCGGAAUUACUGGGCGUAAAGGGCUCGUAGGUGGCCAACUAAGUCGGACGUGAAAUCCCUCAGCUUAACUGGGGAACUGCGUGUGAUACUGGAUGGCUUGGAUUUGGGAGAGGGAUGCGGAAUUCCUGGUGUAGCGGUGGAAUGCGCAGAUAUCAGGAGGAACACCGGUGGCGAAGGCGGGUCUCUGGGCCGAUACUGACGCUGAGGAGCGAAAGCGUGGGGAGCGAACAGG
rnacentral:rRNA from 1 species